AGAAGGAAAUACGCACCCUUCAUCCACCGGCAGGUUUCACACGUACACCCCGUCCACAGAGCGCACGCUCCUUCACGACUCAUCCUGUACCGGCGCUACACAGGCGGUGACGAUGCCCGGUGUUUCAACCAGUCCGCCGCUGCCGUCCCCUGAAGACCGCGUCUUCGUCAACGCACAAGGCGAGCGCUUUCACUGCACCACCUUCGCGCCGUCAUCGUCGUGUGUGCCACCCAACUCGGCCCAUGAUGCACGGACCCCGCUUCUCUUGUGCGUGCAUGGCGCCGGUAUGAGCGGUGACUGCUUUUUGCGCAUGGCGCGAGAGAUUCAGCGACACGCCGACAAGCCCGGUGACGUAGCGGCGUACACCUCUUCACCACCGCGUGCGAGUGAUGUGCCCCUGAUGCCGCCUUCCGCACAUGCGGCGACAGCGACAAAUGCGGAGGCGCAGGGCGAUGACGUGGACAUGCACGUCAUGACAUACGACCAGCGCUGCCACGGCCGGUCCACCUUUGCCGGCGGCGAAGAUCAUCUCUCGAUCGAGGUGCUGAUGCGCGACUUUUUGGACGUGCUCCACUAUGCCAAGACUGAACUGUACCCCACCAGCAAUGUCUACGUCCUCGGCCAUUCGCUUGGCGGCGCCGUCGUGGCGCGUGCGCUGAGCGGAAACAAGUCCGCCCUCGAGCGUGUUUCGGGCGUGCUUCUUGUAGACGUGGUCGAGGGAACGGCGCAGCUGUCGUUGCAGCACAUGAAAUCGUUUCUCAAGAAUCGCCCCAACACGUUUCCCGAGGUGAAGGACGCCGAGGUCUGGUUCCUGCGCAUGGGUGGCAUGCAGAACCCGCAAGGCGCCGAAGUUUCCGUGCCGCCGCUUUUGCAGCAAAAUGACAAAACAGGCCUGUGGCAGUGGCGGACGGACAUCCGCAAGAUGGAGAGCGUCUGGGACGGGUGGUUCGCCGGCCUCGAUGAGGCAUUCAUUUCGCUGCCGUGCGCCAAGAUGCUGUGCACUGCGAACGCGGAACGGCUCGACAAGACACUCACGGUCGCGCAGAUGCAGGGCAAGUUCCAGUUCGAGGUGAUUGGCAACGGGUGCGGCCACUACGUCAUGGACGACGCGACGUCGACAGUCGUCGCCAAGGUGCGGCGCUUCGUGAAGCGCAACGAGGUGUUGACGCAGAAGCUGCAGCUCAUGAACAAGAACCUGUCUGGCCAGAAGAACAAUACGACGGUUCCGCCAAACCGCAUGUAGGCAACAACGACCGCUGUUGCGCCACACCUACGCGCUUAUCCACAAGAGCGCAAAACUCACCGCGCGGAAGCGAGAGAUGGAAAGGGACAGGGCACGGCGGCAGCAACAGCGCCGAAUACAUGGUGCAAAGGCUUUUACGUACGUGCGACGUUUGUGCUCAGGUUCUCCCGAUUUUGCCGCACACGCGGUACAUCUUAGAUGUGACGCACAUGCUCUCCUCCAGCGGAAAUAAUGCUUGCUUUGCCUGCGUGCCUGUUUUGAUUGGAGACCGUGCAGGGCCCUCCCUGCCCCUCACACGGACGCGCACGCGCAAAGAGAAGGCCUGCAGCCCUGUGCAUACAUCCCGCGUCUUGCGUGAUGCUCGUAAAUCCUCCUCUCUACAUAACAUGACGCCAAGAGAAGAUGCCACACUGAUCGCGUGCGCGCAUAUGUGCAACCUCGACCUGGGCUCUGGCUUCCCUUCUGCAGGGCGUGAGGACGAUCGGGCAAAGGCGGCGGGUGUCGCAUUCGGCUUUCCCUCGUUUUCCUCGGUCGUCCUCUUUUCCGCACCGUCGCACGGCUGACGAAGCACGCGGCGUUCACAUUCCGCGUUCCUCGCUGUGAAUCAGCAAUCCAUUCUCACCCUUCGUACCUCACAUUCUGCCCACGCUUCUCUUUCGUGUGUGUGCGUGCUCUCCAUGGCCCACGCCCUCUCCUCCUCGCGAUGCACACGCUUACGUGUGCUGGCGCCGUGUGCUCCGAAUGCCCACGCUCGACAUGGUUCACGCUUUCCUUCUCCCCUCUCUCUCACUCGCUGCCCGUGCACGUCCAUUCAG
rnacentral:misc_RNA from 1 species